rnacentral:rRNA from 1 species
GGUACAGAAGUGAGAAUGUUGGCAUGAGUAGCGAGAGUUAAGUGAGAAUCUUAACGGUCGAAAACCUAAGGUUUCCUGAGGAAGGCUCGUCCUCUCAGGGUUAGUCGGGACCUAAGCCGAGGCCGAAAGGCGUAGGUGAUGGACAAUCGGUUGAUAUUCCGAUACCACCAAUGGACGUUAUUAGAAAUGGGAUGACGCAGGAGGAUAAGAUGUGCACACUAUUGGAUGUGUGUCUAAGCAUUUAGGCGGAGCAAGCAGGCAAAUCCGUUUGCUCUUAACGCUGAGAUGUAAUGGGGAAGGCAAUUUAUUGCUGAAGUAUCUGAUUCCACGCUGCCAAGAAAAGUCUCUAUCGAGGAUAUUGGUGCCCGUACCGCAAACCGACACAGGUAGGUGAGGAGAGAAUCCUAAGACCAUCGGAAGAAUUACUGUUAAGGAACUCGGCAAAUUGACCCCGUAACUUCGGGAGAAGGGGUGCCUACGUAAGUAGGUCGCAGAGAAUAGGCCCAAGCAACUGUUUAGCAAAAACACAGGUCUCUGCUAAAGCGAAAGCUGAUGUAUAGGGGCUGACGCCUGCCCGGUGCUGGAAGGUUAAGGGGAUUAGUUAGCUGAGAGCUUGCUCUUGGCGAGGCUAUGAACUUAAGCCCCAGUAAACGGCGGCCGUAACUAUAACGGUCCUAAGGUAGCGAAAUUCCUUGUCGGGUAAGUUCCGACCCGCACGAAUGGCGUAAUGAUUUGGGCACUGUCUCAACAGUACAUCCGGCGAAAUUGUAGUUCCAGUGAAGAUGCUGGAUACCCGCGAUUGGACGGAAAGACCCCGUAGAGCUUUACUGUAGCUUAGCAUUGAAUUUCGGUAUUGUCUGUACAGGAU